GAAGAGGUUCUCUUUAAAUGGUUGGGAAAUACCAUCGUCCUAAAGGGUGAAGUUUGUAUGACUGAAGCGCUCCAGGAUUUAGUCAAACAAAAAUUGUUUUAAGAGGAACAAAAAAAAAUGGGAUCAAGUGUCUCCAAACCAAUGACAAGCACUGAAAAACCACACGGCACAUCAACAGAAGCCACACACACUGAUAUACCAGAUUGCCCAACUAUUGCUCUCGAGAAAAUAUACCCCUACUUAUUUAUGGCAUUUGCUGCUGGGGUCCUUCUGACGCUUCUGGUCACUGCCAUCAUCUGCCUCAUCAAGAAGAGCUGCCCCAAAUAUCCAACCAGCAGCUCCCAGGCAAUUUCCCGGGCCUCAGACCCUUCCCACAAGUGUUGCCCCACUGCUGAGGAAGCCCUUACCUGUGCUGAUGUGUCUCUCAAAGAUUCAGAAGAAGACAGAGUCUGCUUUGCGCAAAACCAGCGAGAAGAAUUGGAACCCAUUGUCUAUGCACAAAUCAAAGUGCAAACCAAAACCAGCCCUGCCACCAGUGGAAGUGGGGAGAUCCGCUAG
rnacentral:lncRNA from 1 species